rnacentral:rRNA from 1 species
AGAGUUUGAUCCUGGCUCAGAACGAACACUGGCGGCGUGGAUUAGGCAUGCAAGUCGAACGAGAACGUUCUCUUCGGAGAACGAGUACAGUGGCGAACGGGUGAGUAACGGGUGGAAAACCUGCCCUUCAAUGGGGGAUAACAGUUCUAACGAGCUGCUAAUACCGCAUACGACCUUCAGAUCGCAUGGUCUGGAGAUGAAAGAUGGCCUCUCUUUGAAGCUGUCGUUGAAGGAUGGUUCCGCCUCCCAUUAGCUAGUUGGUGGGGUAAUGGCCUACCAAGGCGACGAUGGGUAGCCGGCCUGAGAGGGUGUCCGGCCACACUGGGACUGAGAUACGGCCCAGACUCCUACGGGAGGCAGCAGUCGAGAAGCUUCCGCAAUGGGCGAAAGCCUGACGGAGCGACGCCGCGUGAGUGAAGAAGGCCCUAUGGGUUGUAAAACUCUGUCAGAUUGGGAAGAAAGCACCAUGAUUAAUACCUGUGGUGUUUGACGGUACCAUCAGAGGAAGCACCGGCUAACUCCGUGCCAGCAGCCGCGGUAAUACGGAGGGUGCAAGCGUUGUUCGGAUUCACUGGGUAUAAAGGGUGCGCAGGCGGCCUGAUAAGUCAGAGGUGAAAUAUGUCGGCUCAACCGGCAAACGGCCCCUGAAACUGUCAAGCUUGAGUCCGAGAGAGGUAGGUGGAAUUCCAGGUGUAGCGGUGAAAUGCGUAAAUAUCUGGAGGAACACCGGUGGCGAAGGCGGCCUACUGGCUCGAAACUGACGCUCAGGCACGAAAGCAUGGGGAGCGAACGGGAUUAGAUACCCCGGUAGUCCAUGCCGUAAACGAUGGGUACUAGGUGUUGGAGGAUUCUACCCCUUCAGUGCCGCAGCUAACGCAUUAAGUACCCCACCUGGGGAGUACGAUCGCAAGGUUGAAACUCAAAGGAAUUGACGGGGGCCCG